rnacentral:rRNA from 1 species
GACGAACGCUGGCGGCGUGCUUAACACAUGCAAGUCGAACGGAAAGGCCCUGCUUUUGUGGGGUGCUCGAGUGGCGAACGGGUGAGUAACAUGUGAGUAACCUGCCCUUGACUUUGGGAUAACUUCAGGAAACUGGGGCUAAUACCGGAUAGGAGCUCCUGCUGCAUGGUGGGGGUUGGAAAGUUUCGGCGGUUGGGGAUGGACUCGCGGCUUAUCAGCUUGUUGGUGGGGUAGUGGCUUACCAAGGCUUUGACGGGUAGCCGGCCUGAGAGGGUGACCGGCCACAUUGGGACUGAGAUACGGACCAGACUCCUACGGGAGGCAGCAGUGGGGAAUAUUGCACAAUGGGCGGAAGCCUGAUGCAGCAACGCCGCGUGCGGGAUGACGGCCUUCGGGUUGUAAACCGCUUUCGCCUGUGACGAAGCGUGAGUGACGGUAAUGGGUAAAGAAGCACCGGCUAACUACGUG